rnacentral:lncRNA from 1 species
AAUUUUUAAGAUCAUACGCUAAACUAAAACAUUUGCUUCUGAAAGGUAAUUUGUCGGAAAUUCGUAAUUCCGAAAUGACGUGAAAACCGAGUUACUUAUAACUACUUAAUGUAGUUUUUAUUUACAUGCACACAAAAAAAUAAUAAUAUAUAUAUAUAUAUAUAUAUAUAUAUAUAUACACGAGACAUAUAAUGUUUCACCUGCUCUGACUAUUAAAUUAUAACACACAUGCGCACGAGACAUAAACGCAGAGAAUAAAACGUCAGGACGCCAUUACACAAUUACAAACUCUUGAUUGAGUUUAUGAUUCACUGAUAGACGUGCUGAAGACGAGUGAAGUGUUGGUUUGGUGUGAUAAUGUUGCUUAAGCCCAAAAGUAAUACACCGAUUAUUUAUGUAUAAGCACACUAUUAUUUUUGGACACUCUAAUAAUUAUGAAAAUAAUAUUCGAUGCCAUGAAAUCGGGUUAAUACCGUGACUAUUCAGAAACGUUCAUUUCAGCGGCCUGGAAUUAUAUGAACUCCAUUGAUUUGGGAAUUGAUGUCUAACUGAUGUGGAAUUAGCAGCUUUCCAAGACGUUCAACAAAGCAUGGAUGACUCUGCAACUCUUCUUAAAUGAUAUAUUCAGCUACCCCCCCCCCCCCAGCAGUGAUCUUCAUCUUUUGCUGCAAGGCAUGUUGAUUUUUUUCCUUGUAAAUGUAUUUGAAUUUUUGGUAUUUUUAAUAAUAAUGCAAAUGUGUGGCUAAUAUUAACAAGAUUACACGAUUUGCUAUAUUUAUUGCUGAUUUAUUGCAUAUUUUCUUGAUUGCCGAAGUGUGUAAUUUUUUUUGGCAUUAAAGUAUAUUCUCUUAUGCCAGCUCAAAUCCAGAAUCAACAGUAAGUAAUUCAUUCCUAGGUUAUAUUCUGCACAAAAAAGCACAAACAUUUUGGUGUGAUAGCCCUAUCAAAACAUUGUUUUUUGUUGUUGUUUGUUUUUAGCAUCCAACCUGUCUGACACAGCAACAUUCAUUUAUCCAAUGAUAAUAGUUUCCCUGAUCAGCAUAACUGGAGUGAGCUAGUUUUAUGCAAACCACUAUUAGUUUUUGUAGACUCGGUGUAUAUUAACAAAGGUCAAGGUUUGGCCGGUUAGCAUAGUGCGUGGUUAUUGUAUGAAUGUUUUUGUAGGGCUCUUAAAAUGUGAAACUGAAUUGAAACUGAACUGAAAAUGUGAAAUGACUUAUAUUUUUCCUUGUCUGCUGCCCUUCACAUCUCAGCUCAGGAUAGUUGCUAGUAAAGGGUUCGAGACCAAGUGCUGUGUUCAUCCAAUCUGUGUUGUGAUAUCAUUAUCUUGCAACACUAGAUUUAGUCACAUUGUAUCAUAGCUCAGGAACUUCUGUAUUCUGAUGGCAGAUUUUAAGUUGCAUGCUUUUGCCACUGAAAUGAAUAGGAAUUCUAGCAGAUUUCCUAGGUUUUAGACCUCCAUGCAUAUUAUACAACCAGUUUAUAACUCUUGGUCCACUGGCUAUGAUAGUGCUAGUACUUUUAUUCUGUAAUGUUACAAAGCAUUUAAAAAAUAACUUUUAUCAAUAUGAAAUGACUUGCUGAAUUCCAUGUAAAAAAUAUCCAAGUAAAAUAAAAUACACUUGUAUUUUUUUAACUAUUUAACUGCUUAUAAAAUGCUCUUUCUCACAAAAUAUGCUAUUAGUUAGUGUUUUUGCUUUUAUUUUGCCCAAAUUGAUGAAAAAGAGUUUAGGGUAGCCAAACCAUUACCGUACACUAGCGCAAGCUUUUUACUUUUUUAUGAUAAAUGUUUGGGAUGUACUACAGUUGUAAUGCAGUGUUCAAAUUGAGAAUCCCAGACACCCCAAUUCAGAAAGCUAAUUCUUGACCAUCAUUUAAAUUGUCAGAGGGUUGUUCAUGGCGAGUCUUCCUGUUGUUCUUCAUACAUUGGGACAUUCAGUUAUUGUGUCAGACUCAACGGUGAGCUUGAACACCCAGCAAUAGCAACCUAUAAUCACUGUAAGAGAUCUGUGUUGUGGAUUUUCAUCCAACUCUAUGCUAAACCCCACCAGCUGAUUUUCAGAUUUUACUGCUGACCACAAUGAACCUUCACCGAGCCCUGCAGCUCAAUCUCUUAUGAAGUGUCCUAUUAUUCACUUUCAUCUCAGUAUUUAGUGGUGAAGCACACUGAGCAGGGAAAAAUGUUUGGAAAAUGUUUAGUUCUCAGAUUUCCUCUGAAAGUCGUCCAGUAUGUCACAGACUUGAAGCAAAUAAGGAACAGGGACUGUACCAAAACAUUAUGCAUGAAAUAAUCUACAAGCAUUUAUAUAUAAUGAAGGCUGUAUUGAGUUAGUUUAUUUUGCCAUGAAACAUGAACACUAAAAAAAAAAAAAAAAAAAAAACUUUGAUUGUCUCCAUCCUCUAGUUGUCUACUAUACUUUGCAGACCGUCACAUGCUUGUACACCAGCACCCAAGCUCUUGCUAUGACAGUGAGUAACGUACAUAUUGUCCAGUGUUCAGAGACUGUACAUUAUUGCAGUCGACAGUCGUGUUAAGUCCUUUCAAGCAUUUAAUAUCUCACUCAUGCACAUUAUUUUACAGUAACAGGAUGCCUUAAUUAUAUAAUUAAGGACAGGAUUAAUUAAGGCCCCUGAACGCCCGUUGCUUUGAUUUAGGCGAAUUUAAAAUCACAAUUCUUCGCUUCUGCAGGGCUCUUCAUAAAAUCCCACGCAGGAUGAACUGUUGCAAAAUGCGGUUUUUCAAUGCCCCAUAACCACUCUGGCUAUGUUAAUAAAAAAGCUUUAAUUUCAAAUUACAUUUGGUUUGUAUUUACAUUGCAUUUAUAGAUGGCUUGACUGAGAAAAACAACUUUUAUCCAAACACAAGAAUAGGUCUUUAAACAUACCAAUUAAAUCAAUAAAACCAAUCGGAGUACUGAAGGCACACAUUUAACAUAAUUAAAAUGUUUAUUUGGAACUCAGGGUAGAAUGGCUUUAUCUGAUGACCGGUCCACGCCUUUGUGUAGCUCCAAACUGAGUAAUGUCACGAUAGGUUUAUCCAUCCAUGUGAUUAGGUUCCAUUAUUAAAAGUAUUUGAAAUUGGUUCUCAUUUACGAAUGCUAACUUUCGUUUUUUGGACGUAUUUAAGAAAUAUUUUUGAGCGUGGCGUUCUUGUAUGCAAGUUGAUAAAAACUUUUAUCCAGAAGAAAAAAAUCGGGUACAGAAUCGUAUAGAGAGGAACUAUGAAUUAACAUGGUAUUUUUGUUCAACAAGAUAAUGGGAUCAAAAAAAAACUUUUUAUAAUUAAUUUUAUUUCCAAUACACUUGUUCUUCUGAGCAGUUAGUCGAACUGAUCCAAGAUAUCUCACGUUCGUGGCUCCCCAGAUUAUCACUAAAGUAUAAUAAAGUUUUGAACUGUAACUGCCAUAUUAUUCUGGUCACUUUAUGCUGAAAUAUAAUCUAAUGUUAGGAAACAAAAGAAAAUAAGGACACUUUUUAUUGAUAUAUGUUUUUACAAGUCUAUAAUAUUUCAAAAUAUUGGUUGUAAAUGAGAAAAUGGGGAACACUUAAACUGAGUUUUGAAUGAUAAAAUGUUGUUAAACAGAAGAGGUGAUGAGUAUCACUUACGGUUUUAAAUUCACUGUGUAAGGUUUGUGAAGCUACAAUUUUAAGUAGCAUAGGCCAAAAAUAACACAUCCAGUGUUGCGCGUAUAAUCAAACUUAGAAACUUAGAACACAGUCCAAAGUUGAUGUUUGGAUCAAGACGGACGGUGACGAAAUUUGUCAAAUGUACCUCUGAACGUGACCAUUGAUAGGCUAUAAUAUACUGUAUAUAUGCCUGUCAUGGAAGUUGCUUUUGUGAUGUCCUCGUGAUUUCUCUAUUCAAUUAUCACCCUUUUAAUUUUUUUUUAAAAAGCAUAUUGUUUGAAUUGCGAACACGUAUUUUAAUGUUUUUUUAUAUGAAAAUAAAUUCCGUUUUGUUAAACUAUUUAAAUUUAAUAAUUAAAAAAUUGCAAAUAUAAGCGUGUUUUAAAAUUUAAAGUUGUGCAUUCAUACUGUGAUUUAUUUUGUAAGAGGUGAAUGGGUCUCCUUGCGCGUUCUCCUUGGCUGUCUGCUGUGAAAGACUUUGAACUUGAACUUUACUUCUUGUCCCUGUCCAGCCGAAUAUGAAUUAAGUACUUCUCGAUUUUAUAUCCGAAUCUAUUAAUUUCGUAUCUCAACGUAUUUGAUGGCAUCUGUAUUCUUUUUUUAAACGCACUUUUAAAAAAUGCAUAAUUUAUUUUUGACGUGCGUAUAGGACACUAGAGUACAAGUACGGAUUUAUUCUUCUGUCUUAUAGUUUAAAAUUUGGUAUAUUGCAGUGGUCUGAUGCGAUGUUAACUUUUUCACAAUAUACACCAACUUGGAUAGGUGUCCAAAGAGCUACAUUUUAGUGCUCACUGACUUAGUACUUAUACUUUCGUGUCAGUAUAUUGAUUGUGACCCACCUUUCCUUUUUCCUCAACUGUAAAUCUGGAAUUAUGUGGAUACUAAUAUGGUGGGACACGUAAAAAACGGCACAAAUAGCUUUAUGCACAAGUAUUUUUAGACUUCCUGUUCUAAAUGAUGACGUUUAUAUUUUGGAUUUUGAGAAAAUGGUCGAUGUACAGCUUCGAACUUCAUGAUAGCAUGUAUUGUUAAUCGAUGUCAAAUGCAGAGAUAUGUAUAAUUGUAAAGCUUUCCAGAGAGGUUAAAGCUACUUUUUUUUUCUUUUGAUUUCAGAAACGAUUUGUCAAUUAUUUGUUCCUAAGAUACAUAUCUUAAAUUCUAAUUACGAAUUAUUAAGUGCAUAUCCGUUACAGCGGUUAAUAUUAACAAAAACAAACCGUUCUGUUUCGUUCCAAAAAAAUGUAACAAAAUAAAGAAUAGAUCAUCUUUACAGAAUUCAGAUCUGAACAUGUUCUUAGGUGCUUUAAGUCUGAUUAGGUUGGAUUUGUGAUGUAGUGUGCAACUUUAUAUAAAGUUUUGUGAACACCCAGCGUUUCUGGAUAUAAAAUGUUUUUUAUAGCCUACAACAGUUUCUUAUUCUAAAAAUUAGAACGGUUGAAAAUAAUGGAAAGAACAUAACAUUGAGUCUAGUUUAAACGUGCGUGUCAAGAUACCAGAGAGUAGUUAAAAUGAUACCAUGGAAGAUUAGAUUUAAUAUAUUCCUAUAGCAAAAAUAUUUUUGUCCAUUUGUGAUAAAUUGAUGGUAAGCCUAGGCUG